GACGAACGCUGGCGGCGUGCUUAACACAUGCAAGUCGAACGAAGAGCGAUGGAAGCUUGCUUCUAUCAAUCUUAGUGGCGCAUGGGUGAGUAACGCGUAAUCAACCUGCCCUUCAGAGGGGGACAACAGUUGGAAACGACUGCUAAUACCGCAUACGAUCUAAUCUCGGCAUCGAGGAUAGAUGAAAGGUGGCCUCUACAUGUAAGCUAUCACUGAAGGAGGGGAUUGCGUCUGAUUAGCUAGUUGGAGGGGUAACGGCCCACCAAGGCGAUGAUCAGUAGCCGGUCUGAGAGGAUGAACGGCCACAUUGGGACUGAGACACGGCCCAGACUCCUACGGGAGGCAGCAGUGGGGAAUCUUCCGCAAUGGACGAAAGUCUGACGGAGCAACGCCGCGUGAGUGAUGACGGCCUUCGGGUUGUAAAGCUCUGUUAAUCGGGACGAAAGGCCUUCUUGCGAAUAGUGAGAAGGAUUGACGGUACCGGAAUAGAAAGCCACGGCUAACUACGUG
rnacentral:rRNA from 1 species